rnacentral:misc_RNA from 1 species
CAUACUUUCUUUUCUCUCUCGAGCUCCACACAGAAACACGCACGCACAGUCAUGGCGGCCGUAUUCAUGCGCGUCGGUGAGCUGGCGUGUCAGAAAGACUCGUUCCUGCGAGAGUUGACGGCGACUGUUGUCUCGUGUGAGCCAGCCAAGACGGCAGUGGCAGCGGCGAAGAAGGCGAAGGGCGCCAGCAGCGACACCGUGACGUACGAUGUUAUUCUGAGCGACUCCGUUCUUUUUCCAGAAGGUGGUGGCCAGCCCUGCGACCACGGCACACUGCGAGUGGUGUCAGGCGAUAAUGACAAAGCCGAUCCCUCGUGUGGCGCCACCGCCGCGCCGCCGCUCUCCAUUACGAACGUGCGCCGGGUCGGGGACACAUGCGUGCUCACCAGUCCCGCCGCCCUCCCCGUGGGGGCUACGGUGCACCAGAUGGUGGACUGGCCGCGUCGGAUGGACCACAUGCAGCACCACACCGGCCAGCACCUGCUCACUGCCGUGGUAGAGCGCGAGGACACGCUGCGCUUGCCCACUGUGAGCUGGUCCCUGACGCACCCUUACUGUUUCAUCCAGGUGGACGUUGGCGGCUACGCAAGCGACCCAGCUUCGCCGUACCACGCUUACAUCACAAAGGAGAAGAAAAUAUCGGACGAAAUGGUGGCGAAGAUCGAGGUGCUCUGCAACGACGCGAUCGCCCAGAGCACCGCCGUGCAGUGCGACGUGUUCGAAAAUCGAGAGGUGUAUAUGCGGGAGCAGGAUCGCCGGCAUCAGACGGCUGCGGCCUCGGCAGACGGCGGCACGGAAGCCUUUCGAAGCCGCGGCAUCCCAGAGGACGUCACAGGGCCGAUCCGCAUCAUCUCGCUGGACGCCAUCGACAGCUGCACCUGCUGCGGCACCCACCUGCGCACACUAGCAGAGCUGCAGGCUAUGUACCUCCUCCACCAAGAGGUUAAAGGAACGCUAGUGAAGCUGUACUUCAUCACUGGCAAGCGGGCAGCGCGACAGUUCCACGCCAUGUAUCACCGGGAGCGGCAGUUGAUGCCGGAGUUGGGUGGCAGCAGACCCAACGACUUUGUCUCCGUGGUGCAGCGCCGUUCCAAGGAUGCGACGGACCUUGAGAAGCUGAUGAAGCGGUGGACACUGGAGCUAGCGAGUGUAGAAGCACAGCGCAUCGCCGCCGCCGUGCCGGCGUCGCACGCCGCUACCGUCACAGUGCCCCUGCGUCGCGACGACGUAGAUCUCGAGUUCUUCAACGAGGUCCGCGCACGGCUCGAUGCAGCAGGGCUGCGCCGCGUCGUUCUCGUUUCCGCGUGGGCGGCAGAGCGGUGCACGGCAGGCACGCUCGCCAGCGCGAAGGAUGUGGCGGGUCAGGUCUUCGUCACUGGGGGAGAGACGCCUGCGGACAUGGAGAAGGCCGUCCAGCUGGUGAAGGAAACGCUAGAGGGGAUGAAGGGGGGCACCUCCAAGCUGGGUUUCCGUGGGAAGGGCAGUCUGAAGGAGUGGGACACCCUCGUGGCGCGUCUGAAGGAGUAGCGAAGCGUGUAGAGAACGCGAAGGGUGAGGGGGGAACUACUGAGACGACGAGGGGCGGUGGGAGAGGUGAGCUUUAUGGUGUGUGAGUGUGUGCGCUCUCUGUAGUGUCAUCCCUUCCUCCUCGUCCGCUCUCUCCGCCCCACUAGUUGUACUUGGCAAAAUAAACAUACACACACACAUACACUACCUCCGCGUAUGCACGACGGUUGCGCUGUGGUGGCGACCCGCACAGACGCGCCGUCGUAAAGGGGGAAAGAAUGCCAGUGGAUGUCGCAGAUGUCCAUCAUUGCGCACGUGCACAUACGCAUGUGUGUAUGCGUGCGGUCAUGUCCACUCACCCUCAACGCUGUUGCGUCGUCAUUUGCAGCACAU